rnacentral:rRNA from 1 species
GACGAACGCUGGCGGCGUGCCUAACACAUGCAAGUCGAGCGGAGUUGACAAGAGGAAGUUUUCGGAUGGAAUCUUGCCAGCUUAGCGGCGGACGGGUGAGUAACGCGUGAGCGACCAACCUUGCACAGGGGGAUAACGGACCGAAAGGUUCACUAAUACCGCAUGAGACCACGGUGUUGCAUGACACAGGGGUCAAAGGAGCAAUCCGGUGCAAGACGGGCUCGCGUCCGAUUAGGUAGUUGGUGGGGUAACGGCCCACCAAGCCGGUGAUCGGUAGCCGACCUGAGAGGGUGAGCGGCCACAUUGGAACUGAGUUACGGUCCAAACUCCUACGGGAGGCGGCAGUGGGGAAUAUUGGGCAAUGGGGGAAACCCUGACCCAGCAACGCCGCGUGAAGGGAGAAGGUUUUCGGAUUGUAAACUUCUGUCCUUGGUGAAGAGAAGAAGACGGUAGCCAAGGAGGAAGCCCCGGCUAACUACGUGCCAGCCGCCGCCGUAAAAC